rnacentral:misc_RNA from 1 species
GAUGAAGAACGGCAGCGAAAUGCGAUAAGUAAUGUGAAUUGCAGAAUUCAGUGAAUCAUCGAAUCUUUGAACGCACAUUGCGCCCGCCAGCACUCUGGCGGGCAUGCCUGUUCGAGCGUCAUUUCAACCAUCAAGCCCCCAGGGGCUUGUGCUGGGGCCCUGCGGCUGCCCGCAGGCCCUGAAAACCAGUGGCGGGCUCGCUAGUCACACCGAGCGCAGUAGCACAUCUCGCUCAGGGCGUGCGGCGGGCUCCUGCCGUGAAACCCCCCACUGUAACCCCAAAGGUUGACCUCGGAUCAGGUAGGAAUACCCGCUGAACUUAAGCAUAUCAAUAAGCGGAGGA